UACGGAGGAUGCAAGCGUUAUCCGGAAUGAUUGGGCGUAAAGCGUCCGCAGGUGGCAAUGUAAGUCUGCUGUCAAAGCGUCUGGCUCAACCAGAUAAAGGCAGUGGAAACUACAUAGCUAGAGUAAGGUAGGGGUAGAGGGAAUUCCUGGUGUAGCGGUGAAAUUCGUAGAGAUCGGGAGGAACACCAGUGGCGAAGGCGGCUAUCUGGCUGACAACUGACGCUGAGACUCGAAAGCAUGGGGAGCAAACAGG
rnacentral:rRNA from 1 species